AAAUAUUCCAAAAUCCAAACAUUUUCCAGUCACAAGCAGUUUUGACAAAAGGUUUUCUACUGGAUCCAGAUGUUUCCCAACUCCAAUCCUCGGGACUCUCUAGCAAGCCAGAAAUUAAGGGUUUCAGAAAUAGAGUACAGGAAUCUUUUCAUCGGGCAAGUCAUUGCUUUCAAGGGAUGCUCUGGUCCUUGGCUUACUAUCUGAUCUCUGCACAUCACAGGGAAGUUGUCUUCUGAUUUCAAGCAGUAUUCACUGUUUCUUAUUUUUUUCUGACAACUGGCAUUGUUUGCUGAGAGGACAAGAGAUGGCUUUUCUGUAUGUAAGGUGAACAGAUUAGUGAUGAGAUUAUAUUUUCCCAUGUGAUUACUAAAAGCAGAAUUUAUGAGAAUACAUUUUUUGUUUAGCCAAUGACAAAUAAAUGCAUUUCUUGUUUAUUAACACAUUGAUAUUGUUCUAUAACAUGGAAAUCACACAUGCAAAAUGUAUAAAUGAUCCACAUAUUAAUAGGGCACAACACUGUAUGAAACUGUAUAACGCAUUGGGUCAAUUAAAAAAUAAUCCAAUAUUAAAGGGACAUUAAACACUUUGCGAUUGCAAUGUACAAUGUUAAUUGUAUAUUAAACAUGUAAUAUGCUUUCA